rnacentral:tRNA from 3 species
UCUGGAAUCGUCUAAUAGGUAGGACAUAGAUUUUUGAUGUCUACAAGUGAGUGUUCGAAUCGCUCUUCCAGAA